AUUUACUCAACAAGGGCACAAUUUUGUGAGAAUGGAUCAAAACAUGAUAUUUUGAUAAGUUGUAAGGGUGAAAAUGAAGGAAAAAACAUUCAUUAUCAACAAGAACAACAUAAUUAUCCUGUUUUGUCAAUUUGUAUUGAUAAAAAGAUGGUGAUUAGAGUGAAGAGAUUACAAUGGAAUUUUAGGGGAAAUCAAAGUAUUUUUUUGGAUGGUUUGUUUGUGGAUGUUAUGUGGGAUGUUCAUGAUUGGUUCUUUGAUUCAACAAACUCUGGUUGUGCUGUUUUUAUGUUUAGGACAAGAAGUGGAUUGGAUAGUAGAUUGUGGUUAGAAGAUAGAGACAAGUUGAUGCACAAGAAUCAAGAUAAAGUUGAGUUCUCAUUCAUGAUCUAUGCAAGUAAGACCACAUGAUUUCUUCUCGAUUUUUUUCGUUUAUCUGGUGUUCGAUAUACCAAUUUUGCGUUCCUAAUAUCUGAGGAACGCUUUUUACAAAGACUUGAAUUUGAACCUGGAGUUUCGUUAUAGUUAUGGAUGAAGAAAGAAAUUUUAUUCAUCGAACAACAAUUCUGAAUAGUAUAAGAGCAAAUAAUUGAAAGGUGAU
rnacentral:misc_RNA from 1 species